rnacentral:rRNA from 1 species
UACAGAGGGGGCAAGCGUUGUUCGGAAUUACUGGGCGUAAAGAGCUCGUAGGCGGUGUGUUACGUCGGCCGUGAAAACCUGCAGCUUAACUGUGGGCGUGCGGUCGAUACGGGCAUCACUGGAGUUCGGCAGGGGAGACUGGAAUUCCAGGUGUAGCGGUGAAAUGCGUAGAGAUCAUGAGGAAGACCAGUGGCGAAGGCGGGUCUCUGGACAGUUCCUGACACUGAGGCACGAAGGCCAGGGGAGCAAACGGG